AUGGGAUUGGGGUUGAACUGGAUUUUCUUGGUUGUCGUUUUGAAAGGUAUACAUUGUGAAGUGCAGCUGGUUGAGUCUGGUGGAGGACUGGCCCAGCCCAAGGAGUCAUUGAAGCUCUCCUGUGCAGCCUCUGGAUUCACCUUCACUAGCUAUGCCAUGUACUGGGUCUUCCAAUCUCCAGGAAAAGGUCUGGAAUGGGUUGCUACCAUAGGAGUUAGAAGUAAUAAUUAUGUAACCUAUUAUGUCGAUUCGGUGAAAGACAGAUUCACCAUCUCCAGAGAUGAUUCCCAAAGCAAAGUCUUCCUUCAAAUGAACAACCUGAGAACUGAGGACACAGCCAUUUAUUACUGUACACAGGACACAGUGAGGACUCUUGUGUGA